CGGAUUCCGACGGUUGAUGUUCCGCCGUGGUCGUACUCCGAUGAUCAAACGGCGAACAUGCAGUUCAUGUUAAGCCCUAGUACAAAUUCCAUUUCUACCCCUAAUAAUUUCAAUUUCAGUAACUUUAUUGUUGAAGAUGAUUAUCCUCUGUUUUGUAACGAUGCUGAAGAUAUCGAUGAAUUUGAGUUGGAAAAUCGUGAAAUUGAACUUCCGGUUGAUGUUUACGCUUGCGAUAAUUUUAGGAUGUAUGAAUUUAAAGUGAGGAGAUGUGGACGUGGUAGGUCACACGAUUGGACGGAAUGUCCAUACGUUCAUCCCGGUGAGAAAGCUCGCCG
rnacentral:misc_RNA from 1 species